rnacentral:rRNA from 1 species
GACGAACGCUGGCGGCGUGCUUAAUACAUGCAAGUCGAACGGAAAGGCUCUGCUAUUGUGGGGUGCUAGAGUGGCGAACGGGUGAGUAACACGAGAGUAACCUGCCCUUGUCUUUGGGAUAACUACAGGAAACUGGGGAUAAUACCGGAUAGGAGCUACUGCUGCAUGGCGGUGGUUGGAAAGUGGGGGCGGUGGUGGAUGGUCGCGAGGUUUAUCAGGUUGUUGGUGGGGUAGUGGCUUACCAAGGCUUUGACGGGUAGCCGGCCUGAGAGGUUGAACGGCGCCAUUGGGACUGAGAGAGGGACCAGUCUCGUACGGGAGGCAGCAGUGGGGAAUAUUGCACAAUAGGGGGAAGUCGGAUGCAGAAACGCCGCGUGCGUAAUGACGGCCUUCGGGUUAUAAACCGCUUUGGCCUGAGAUGAAGCGUUAGUGACGGUAAUUAGUAAAAAAGCACCGGCUAACUACGUG